AUACUUACCUGGCAGGGGAAAUACCACGACCAUGAAGGUGGUUUUCCCAGGGCAAGGAAACCAUUGCUUAUCCAUUGCACCCCGGAUAUGCUGGCCACUGCAAUUUCCCCAAAUGUGGGAAACUUGACUGCAUAAUUUGUGGUAGUAUAAACAUUUUUUAAA
ensembl:snRNA U1 U1 spliceosomal RNA